UACGUAGGGUGCGAGCGUUGUCCGGAAUUAUUGGGCGUAAAGAGCUCGUAGGCGGUGUGUCACGUCGGCCGUGAAAACCUGCAGCUUAACUGUGGGCGUGCGGUCGAUACGGGCAUCACUGGAGUUCGGCAGGGGAGACUGGAAUUCCUGGUGUAGCGGUGAAAUGCGCAGAUAUCAGGAGGAACACCGGUGGCGAAGGCGGGUCUCUGGGGCCGAUACUGACGCUGAGGAGCGAAAGCGUGGGGAGCGAACAGG
rnacentral:rRNA from 1 species